CCCGUUUCGUGAGUGUUUCUUCGUUUCUUUAAGAGCUACCAGAAAGCAGCCCACCCCCACCCCAUAAAAAAAAAAAAAAUAAGCGAGUGGGGAAGAGCCAGCCCCACGCCGGUCCGCCUCCCGCCCGCGGCCCGGCCUCCCUCCCGCUGGCCGCCUGGCUCGGCGCUCCUUCGCCCCGAGUUCUCCAUCCCCUGGAUCGCGGGCUCGCGGGGGCGCGGAGAAGAGGAUCGAGGAAAGGGCCAUCCGCACGGCAGCAUUUAGAAGCUGACUUCGCUGGCGACUGCAAGUGCCUGCGAUUUUUGCUUCCCGUCCACAUUCGGCGUCUUGCACUUAAAUUCGCUGCGCCCCGCAUGCAACAGUGCCUCGCUAAGGGGUCUCUGGGUACAAAAUUCCUCCCAAAGGAAAUGUCUCGAGGUACAGAAAGUGGAAAAGAUUAAUCGAAUUUAUAAAAAAGAAAACCUUUGCUUCCUUUGGGUUAAAAUCCCAUUGCGGUUUUUCUCAGCGUGGAAAAAAAAAAAUAUCAUCCUGCAACAGAGUGUAGCUAAUUCCUGGAACCUAGUAGUAGGAUGUUCAGAAAGCCCAGCAGGGCUCGCAGAUUCUCAUCUUUGAGCUCAAGAGGUAGGACCUUUGGAUCCAGUGAAAAACGAUGAGUUCUUCUGUCAUCUGCUGGGAUUGGGUGUGAGAUCUGUGGAGCCCUGGACUCUGUGUGCUUUUGGGGGUGUGCCUGGGGGGUCUGCCAGGAAACUCAUUUUCAUUCAUAUAGGAGAUCCUCUCAAAUGACCUCCCAGUGGGAACUCCUAGAUAAACUCAUGGAGCAAAUCUCUUACAACCAACCCUAGAGAAAAAAAAAAAAAAAAAAAAAAAAGAUACUCCACCACUUUCUCUAGAACAACAUCCCUCUUUAAAGAAGAGAGCAACAAUUUGCAAAGAGAUGUGCAUCUUGUUUUACAAAAAGCUUGUGUGCCUGGAGACCUUGCCUGGGGGUGGCCAGGGUUCCAGGAGGAAAGCACCUUUUGGUUUCUGUUUGGUAGAAGUCCGAUGGCCAGCUCUGGUUGCAGAACCAUCCUGGGGGCCUGGCUCUUGCCUGCCUAGCGGCCUUGCUCCCAAGGCCCAUCAUUCACAUUACUAGGAAUUUACAAACUGCACAGAUGUCAGCUGAGCUCGGACUUCAUAGGGGAUAUUUCUCUGGGUUUCUCUCUGCUGAGAAAGAGCUCUCUGAGAAGGAGAGAAGUGUUCCUUCUCCUCGGAGCUUGCAGCUUGAGUCAGAGUUGUGGCUGUAUCUUGGCCCCACAACCAACUUCAGUUUGUCAAUGGUGCGCAGUUGACACCUGCAUCCUUUUGGGGCCAUAUGUGGGAUGAGUACAAAGGGGUGGGGCCGGUGAGGCGAGUGGACAGCCCACCCAACUCUUCCUUCCCUUUUUCUAGCUCAGUGAAGUU
rnacentral:lncRNA from 12 species